GUGUGAGGGAUGUGUGAUCAAAACAAUGCCCAGCGCUGUCGUUUGCUGCGCCAUCUGGACAUAUCUCGCUGUCAAUUCCUGUCCGCU